ACCAGGUCUUGACAUCCCUUGACAACUCCAGAGAUGGAGCGUUCCCUUCGGGGACAAGGUGACAGGUGGUGCAUGGUUGUCGUCAGCUCGUGUCGCGAGAUGUUGGGUUAAGUCCCGCAACGAGCGCAACCCUUAUUACUAGUUGCCAGCAUUUAGUUGGGCACUCUAGUGAGACUGCCGGUGACAAACCG
rnacentral:rRNA from 1 species